GCAAAAGUUAGUGUAAUACGGUUCUAUCGUAUCUGGCCGAUCACUUUGAAGGGAUCGGGCCUCUAGAGAAUUAAGAGGUAGAGAAAUAGAGAGAGAAGGUAGAGAAAAGACAAGACAUGAGGAAAAAAAGACAAUAUUGCUUGAUUAUUUCUUAUAAUUCCGGAUUACAUUAUAUAGAGCCCGUAUGCUCCAAUUACUUCUAAUCAUACUAACUUAACAUAAAUAAACUCAUUCCCAAAUAUAUUCCUAAAUAACAAAAUAAUCAUCUAUUCCUAGCAUAUUCCUAAUAUAAUAAUAUUUAUUUCCAUAACUGAAAAUCCUAAUCUAGGAAUGUAUCAUUCCACAGC
rnacentral:lncRNA from 1 species